rnacentral:lncRNA from 1 species
GAUUCAUACGUUCCACUACUAAAAUUGUGUUCUUAUAACACCAAAAACUGCUAAAUCAAUUAAAACAACAUAGUUUCAAGUUUAGCAUCACAUAAUGAAUCAAUAACAAUUGAGCAGGAGGAGUCUAUCACUUUAAACCCAGACGAGUACAUUGGUGAAACUACAAAAUACAACACAAGAGGUACACAUUGUUCUUUUCCUAAUCGUGUGGCAGCAGAAUCACACAUCCACCUCAUUGAGCUGAUUUCUUCAUCAUACAUAUAUUUAGUCCACUGGUAUUCAAAUUCAUAGAUCCAAAUGGAUAUGAAGUCAUUAACUACUGCGCAAAGAUGGGCUAACACAAUAAUCAGUAAUUGAUGUUGCCUAACAGAAAUUAACUCAUAUGUUACCGAGUAUUUGACUCAUUUUAAACGAACAAAUAACAACACAUAUGGUCAAAUUAGAACCACUCAGUAAGCAAAUAAAUAGGCUGGAAUUAUGACACGGUAUCAAAACAGCUGAUCUUCAUUCAUCAAUUCAAUUAGAUGGCUUAAAAUGUGAAACAUACCUAGAGAUGAAUUCAGCAACAAGGAAUAACCAAAUAAAACUUAGAAGCAGAAGAUGAAGCUCAGUUAACAAUCCCCAGCAACAAUCGGCAGAGAAAAAAAAUACUUCCAACAGCCCAAAAGACCCUUUAACUUUCCAGAAAUACCAAAUGAAGGAGCAAGGCUUCGAAACAGCUUUCUUUUCCAGAUAACCUUGUUUUAAUGAAGGAGGUCUGUGAUGGAGCGGCUAGGGUGUGCUGUAUUUUUAUUUUGAGAAGGGGAGUCUGUUUGGAGAUGACGGAGGAAUAAGGGGCGGCUGCUUGGUUUUUUUUCCAGAAAAUGGGGGAUUUUUUAUUUAUUUUUUUAGGGCUAAGGGGGAAAAGGACUUUUAAUGAGGGGGAAAGAGAGAAUGGGCCAGGCGGGUCGGGGUGAAUUGGGCGGAUAUGGGAAUUCGUUUGGGCUCUUUGAGACUGGCCCAAUCCGAUUUAAACUAAAAACUUUCCCCCUUUUCUUUUGUUUGUUUUCUU